AAGAGUGUGGCUCAGUAGCAGAGCACCUGCCUAUUAUGUGGGAAGCCCUGGGUUCAAUCCUCAGCACGCGCA
rnacentral:tRNA from 1 species